rnacentral:rRNA from 1 species
GUCCACGCCGUAAACGAUGUCAACUAGCCGUUGGGUACCUUGAGUAUUUAGUGGCGCAGCUAACGCAUUAAGUUGACCGCCUGGGGAGUACGGCCGCAAGGUUAAAACUCAAAUGAAUUGACGGGGCCCGCACAAGCGGUGGAGCAUGUGGUUUAAUUCGAAGCAACGCGAAGAACCUUACCUGGCCUUGACAUGCUGAGAACUUUCCAGAGAUGGAUUGGUGCCUUCGGGAACUCAGACACAGGUGCUGCAUGGCUGUCGU